rnacentral:sRNA from 1 species
CGCCAAGUCCGAGGCCCCGUGACCGUCGGGGUCUGGUGCACAAAGGGA